rnacentral:misc_RNA from 1 species
AGCAGCCGCGGUAAUUCCAGCUCCAAUAGCGUAUAUUAAAGUUGUUGCAGUUAAAAAGCUCGUAGUUGAAUUUCGGGACCAAUUUGUUGGUCGUGCCUCGGUACGUACUGGUAUUAUUGGUUUCUCCCUUCUGAAGAACCUCGAUGCCAUUAAUUUGGUGUCGUGGGGAAUCAGGACUGUUACUUUGAAAAAAUUAGAGUGUUUAAAGCAAGCAUACGCUUGAAUACAUUAGCAUGGAAUAAUGAAAUAGGACGUUUGAUUCUAUUUUGUUGGUUUUUAGGAUCGACGUAAUGAUUAAUAGGGAUAGUUGGGGGCAUUAGUAUUCAAUUGUCAGAGGUGAAAUUCUUGGAUUUAUUGAAGACUAACUACUGCGAAAAGCAUUUGCCAAGGAUGUUUUCAUUAAUCAAGAACGAAAGUUAGGGGAUCGAAGACGAUCAGAUACCGUCGUAGUCUUAACCAUAAACUAUGCCGACUAGGGAUCGGAUGAUGUUAAUUUUUU